rnacentral:rRNA from 1 species
AUUGAACGCUAGCGGGAUGCUUUACACAUGCAAGUCGAACGAGUAGCGGACGGGUGACUAAUAUCUCGGAACGUGCCCACUAGCGGGGCAUAACUACUCGAACGAGUCCCUACUACCGCAUCCUAUUGGAGCGGCCGAUAUCCGAUGAGCUAGGUGGUGGGGUAAAGGCUCACCAAGUCAACGAUCCGUAGCUGGUUUGAGAGGACGACCAGCCACACUGGGAUUGAGACACGGCCCAGAAUCCUACGGGAGGAAGCAGUGGGGAAUUUUGGACAAUGGGGGAAAGCCUGAUCCAGAGAGACUGCGUGCAUGAGAAGGCCAAUGGGUUGCAAAGUAAUUUUGGCAGAGACGCGGUAUUUCCAGCAUAAGCACAGGCUAACUCCGUGCCAGCAGCCGCGGUAAUAC